UUUUUUUUCUCUCCACCCACUCCCUGGUUUGGCAGAGGCUUGCAGAGAGCUCCACAGGGGCCAUGUGUUCUGGGGCAGCAGCUGUCGGUGCUGACUAAUGAGACUUCCUGGUGGCUUCAGUGGCACACGUGGCUGCAGCAGGAACUGCUGCUUCUCAUGUGCCAGCCUGUGCUCCAGCUACUCAAGAGGGGUUCCGGAUGCUGCUGCUGCUGCUGCUGCUGCUGCUGCUGCUGCUGCUGCUGCUGCUGCUGCUGCUAAGUCCUGGUCAGAGGCUACUAGUAGGGAAAGCUCACAGGACAUCUCUGUGCAGCUGGGAGUGUUCGGUCCCUGGGAAGGAUACCUAAAGACAAUGGAAAAGUUGGCCUAUCUGAACUAGCCAGUUCUACCCCUGUAAGGCAGGCCUGCCACAGCUUCAGGCUUCCUGAGGCUGCAGGCUAGACACAAUUACUCUGUAGCCAUGUGUCCUUGGUAAAAUGUGCCCCCUCUGUGAACUCCACUUUCCUCAGAGGUAGAUGAGAUAACUGUCCUUCCUACCACACAGGGCUUGUUGAAAGGGCCCGAUGAGGCCCUGGAGUGGUAUAUCUGGCCCUGAUUCACCUCAUCUGUGGGGCAGGAAGCCCUUCCUUCACCCUAGUGCUGAGUCUUCAAAACAAAAGGCAGGUGGGGUUCUUGGUCCAAUAGCCAGUGUCUGGGCCUGUUAGGGAGAGCCUCUGAUGGCUGUUUUCUCCAGGAUGCAGUGUCCCAGAAAGGUUUAUCAGCUAAACCUGCCUGGCUCCAGAGAAGCCAACACAGACUUCCUGGUAAACAGCCCCUGGUCACAAAUGCCUUUGUGCAAGUUUUUGAAGAAGAUCCCCAAAGCCUGUUUCGGGUCACCAGACCACGUGUGUGUCUGGAGAUGAACUGUGUGAGGGGAGAUGCUUGCUCCUGAAAUGAGACAUUUUGUUCAGUACCUAGGAGCCUUUCAUGUGACAUUGAAAUCAGGUGCUGAGCCACCCAGAUGCCAGAGGGUUUGAAGUUGAAAGUUGACUCUGCCCCCUGUGGCGACAAGGCUCUGUCAGCCUGAAUUCCAAUUUUCUGAGGGUUUUGUCUACUGCCAACUCAGCUGUGCUUGCUUUCUCAGCACCUUUGGGUCUGUUUCUGUUGUGUUGUCGGGUUUUGUUUUUGUUUGCGUGUGUUUUGGUAGUUAGGGGAGGGAUGGGCUACUGACAGGGCAAGGGGGCAUUUAACCAUUUAUUCUUUUUAGUAGGUUUAAUUGUAUGAAGAUUAUAAUGCAUACAAACGCCUGUAAUUAGGGGAGUUGGUUCUGUAAGACAGUGUUUUAGUGAAGAAAAUUACAGUGUUCAUAAGCCGUCUGAGGAGGAGGCAGUAUAUAUUAACAUGCAACUAGUUUUUGUUAAUUUGUGCUGUUUACCAGUAUUCCCCAGAGGUGCGUCCCUGAGGUCCAGCAACGCUUCACCCUGCAAUGCUAUCCAUUAGUCUCCCUGUAGCUAACCUGCCACAUAGAGCUUUGCGGCGGGUGGUGCUAGAGCGACCAAACUUCCUUCUACAACAAAAAGAGUGCCUUUUGGGUCUUGAGUCAGAUAUUUAGGAGUCCCUGCUGUGUGAGGUUGGGGCCUAGGCCACUUGGGCUCUAGUGACGCUUCCGCUCUAGUGCUGGCGUGCUGAACACGUAUACACAAAGGCAGUACGGCGGAUUAUGAGCAGCAUCAAGAACAGUACCAGGUUGGGGCGGGGGGCGUGAGGAUAGUGACUUAGGCAUCCAGGGCAAAGCUGCCUCUCAGAGGCAGGUCACAUGGUUUGUUCAGUGCCCAAGGUAUGAAUAAGCUAUGUGAGG
rnacentral:lncRNA from 1 species